rnacentral:rRNA from 1 species
UGUCGACUUGGAGGUUGUUUCCAAGAGAAGUGACUUCCGAAGCUAACGCAUUAAGUCGACCGCCUGGGGAGUACGGCCGCAAGGCUAAAACUCAAAUGAAUUGACGGGGGCCCGCACAAGCGGUGGAGCAUGUGGUUUAAUUCGAUGCAACGCGAAAAACCUUACCUGGUCUUGACAUCCAUAAAAUUUUUUAGAAAUAAAAAAGUGCCUUCGGGAAUUAUGAGACAGGUGCUGCAUGGCUGUCGUCAGCUCGUGUUGUGAAAUGUUGGGUUAAGUCCCGCAACGAGCGCAACCCUUAUCCCCUGUUGCCAGCGGUUCGGCCGGGAACUCAGAGGAGACUGCCGGUUAUAAACCGGAGGAAGGUGGGGACGACGUCAAGUCAUCAUGGCCCUUACGACCAGGGCUACACACGUGCUACAAUGGUUUAUACAAAGAGAAGCAAAUCUGUAAAGACAAGCAAACCUCAUAAAGUAAAUCGUAGUCCGGACUGGAGUCUGCAACUCGACUCCACGAAGUCGGAAUCGCUAGUAAUCGUGGAUCAGAAUGCCACGGUGAAUACGUUCCCGGGCCUUGUACACACCGCCCGUCACACCAUGGGAGUGGGUUGCAAAAGAAGCAGGUUUCCUAACCCCUUAAAAGGAAGGCGCCUACCACUUUGUGAUUCAUGACUGGGGGUGAAGUCGUAACAAGGUAACCGUAGGGGAACCUGC